ACCUAUAGCACUUCAUCUGCCUAAUUCUCUGAAUCUUCAUCCGCAGAACUUCAAGGUAGAAUUUGCUUUAAAUUGUGAGUUUGUUCCUGUUGAAUUUCAUGAAAUCCGGCAAGUGAAAGCCAGUUUUAAGAAGCUGAUGAGGGCUUGUAUCCCAAGCACCAUCCCUACUGACUCAGAAGUGACCUUCCUGAAAGCACUGGGAGAUUCUGAGUGGUUCCCACAGCUUCACAGGAUAAUGCAGCUGGCUGUGGUUGUAUCAGAAGUACUUGAGAAUGGUUCCUCAGUUUUGGUCUGUUUGGAGGAAGGCUGGGACAUCACUGCACAAGUGACAUCCCUGGUUCAGUUACUCAGUGAUCCCUUUUAUAGGACACUUGAAGGCUUCCGGAUGUUGGUUGAAAAAGAGUGGCUCUCUUUUGGUCACAAAUUCAGUCAGAGGAGCAGCUUGACCCUCAACUGUCAGGGGAGUGGUUUUGCUCCAGUCUUCUUACAGUUCUUAGACUGUGUACACCAGGUUCACAACCAGUAUCCAACUGAGUUUGAAUUCAAUCUCUAUUA
rnacentral:sRNA from 1 species